UACAGAGGUGGCAAGCGUUGUUCGGAAUUACUGGGCGUAAAGGGCUCGUAGGUGGUCAACUAAGUCAUACGUGAAAUCCCUAGGCUUAACCGGGGAACUGCGCCUGAUACUGGUUGACUUGAGUUUGGGAGAGGGACGCGGAAUUCCAGGUGUAGCGGUGAAAUGCGUAGAUAUCUGGAGGAACACCGGUGGCGAAGGCGGCGUCCUGGACCAAUACUGACACUGAGGAGCGAAAGCCAGGGGAGCAAACGGG
rnacentral:rRNA from 1 species